ACAUGCAGUCGAACGGUCAGUAGCAAUACUGAUAGUGGCGCACGGGUGCGUAACGCGUAACCAACCUACCUGAAUCUGGGGGAUAGCCCGCCGAAAGGCGGAUUAAUACCGCAUAAAACAACAGAACGGCAUCGUUUAAUUGUUAAAGAUUUAUUGGAUUCAGAUGGGGUUGCGUGCCAUUAGCUAGUUGGCGAGGUAACGGCUCACCAAGGCGACGAUGGCUAGGGGAGCUGAGAGGCUGGUCCCCCACACGGGCACUGAGAUACGGGCCCGACUCCUACGGGAGGCAGCAGUAGGGAAUAUUGGGCAAUGGACGAGAGUCUGACCCAGCCAUGCCGCGUGCAGGAUGAAGGCUUUCUGAGUCGUAAACUGCUUUUGCCAGGGAAGAAAAAAGCGGAUGCGUCCGCUACUGACGGUACCUGGUGAAUAAGCACCGGCUAACUCCGUGCCAGCAGCCGCGGUAAUACGGAGGGUGCAAGCGUUGUCCGGAUUUAUUGGGUUUAAAGGGUGCGUAGGCGGCUGAUUAAGUCUGGGGUGAAAGCCCGUUGCUCAACAACGGAACUGCCCUGGAAACUGGUUAGCUUGAGUACAGACGAGGGUGGCGGAAUGGAUGCUGUAGCGGUGAAAUGCAUAGAUAGCAUCCAGAACCCCGAUUGCGAGGCAGCUGCCUAGACUGUAACUGACGCUGANGCACGAAAGCGUGGGGAGCGAACAGGAUUAGAUACCCUGGUAGUCCACGCCGUAAACGAUGGAUACUCGCUGGUGGCGAUAGAUGGUCACUGGCUUAGCGAAAGCGUUAAGUAUCCCACCUGGGGAGUACGCUCGCAAGAGUGAAACUCAAAAGAAUUGACGG
rnacentral:rRNA from 1 species